rnacentral:rRNA from 1 species
UACGGGGGGGGCAAGCGUUGUUCGGAAUUACUGGGCGUAAAGGGUUUGUAGGUGGCCGGCUAAGUCAGACGUGAAAUCCCUCAGCUUUAACUGGGGAACUGCGUCUGAAACUGAUCGGCUCGAGUGCAGGAGAGGAACGCGGAAUUCCAGGUGUAGCGGUGAAAUGCGUAGAUAUCUGGAGGAACACCGGUGGCGAAGGCGGCGUUCUGGACUGCAACUGACACUGUAAAACGAAAGCCAGGGGAGCAAACGGG